rnacentral:rRNA from 1 species
AACGAACGCUGGCGGCAUGCCUAACACAUGCAAGUCGAACGAAGCCUUCGGGCUUAGUGGCGCACGGGUGCGUAACGCGUGGGAAUCUGCCCCUUGCUUCGGAAUAACAGUUAGAAAUGACUGCUAAUACCGGAUGAAGUCUUCGGACCAAAGAUUUAUCGGCAAGGGAUGAGCCCGCGUAGGAUUAGGUAGUUGGUGGGGUAAAGGCCUACCAAGCCGACGAUCCUUAGCUGGUCUGAGAGGAUGAUCAGCCACACUGGGACUGAGACACGGCCCAGACUCCUACGGGAGGCAGCAGUGGGGAAUAUUGGACAAUGGACGCAAGUCUGAUCCAGCAAUGCCGCGUGAGUGAUGAAGGCCUUAGGGUCGUAAAGCUCUUUUACCAGGGAUGAUAAUGACAGUACCUGGAGAAUAAGCUCCGGCUAACUCCGUG